rnacentral:lncRNA from 1 species
UGAGACUUUUUGAUCAAUUAGCUCUAAAACUAUACUCAACUUUUGAUACUGGCUAUCAAAGUUAGAUCUAAUAAUAUUUUCAUUAUCUAACAGCGAAAAGAGCAACAAUUUUCUAGCCAUUUCUAAAAAAAAAAUAAUUGACCUAUCAGUAUAUGAACUAUUUUAAGCUUAAAGAUUUGGACUUUAGUUUAAAGAUUUUCUCACUAUUUUAUACAAAUUGAUAGUCUC